rnacentral:rRNA from 1 species
UGAGGAAUAUUGGUCAAUGGGCGAAAGCCUGAACCAGCCAAGUAGCGUGAGGGAUGACUGCCCUAUGGGUUGUAAACCUCUUUUAUAAGGGAAUAAAAUACGGGACGUGUCCUGUUUUGCAUGUACCUUAUGAAUAAGGACCGGCUAAUUCCGUGCCAGCAGCCGCGGUAAUACGGAAGGUCCGGGCGUUAUCCGGAUUUAUUGGGUUUAAAGGGAGCGUAGGCGGAGAGAUAAGUCAGCGGUAAAAUCGUGCGGCUCAACCGUACCUCGCCGUUGAUACUGUUUUUCUUGAGUGCACACAGGGAUGCUGGAAUUCGUCGUGUAGCGGUGAAAUGCUUAGAUAUGACGAAGGACUCCGAUCGCGAAGGCAGGUGUCCGGGGUGCAACUGACGCUGAGGCUCGAAAGUGCGGGUAUCAAACAGGAUUAGAUACCCUGGUAGU